rnacentral:misc_RNA from 1 species
ACUAAAAUUCUGUGAUUUCCUUCCACACAGCAGCCAUAUAGCUUAACUAAAUUUUCGUGCUCUAUCUUUGAGAUCACAUUAAUCUCUGUUAAGAACUCUUUCACCCCUUGUCUUGAUUCAGUUGAAAGAACUUUUAUAGCAGCAAUUUUCCCACCUUUAAGUUUUCCCUUGUAUACUAAACCAAAACCACCCUCCCCAAUUUUAUUGACCGGACUAAAAUAAUCAGUAGCAUUUCUUAAUUCCUUGUAAGUGUAGAGUUUAACAUCGUGAAUGCCUGCAACUUCUUCAUCAACUUCAAAAGAAUUUUUUGCUGAACUCCGACCAAAUAAGAAACAAAAACAAGUCAUAAUUGUAUGAUAGACCAGUCUUCAAUACCAACUGUCAACCAAUGAUUAAAUGAACAACUUCCUGGACCAGCUAACCUAGUCAGCAGAAAUGAAAAAUCCAGAAAGAAGAAGCAAGCGAUGGGAUCGUUAAGAAC